UACGUAGGGGGGCAAGCGUUGUCCGGAAUUACUGGGCGUAAAGGGCGCGCAGGCGGCUGCUCAAGUCAGGCGUGAAAGGCCUGGGCUCAACCCGGGAAUUGCGCUUGAGACUGGGCUGGCUUGAGUGCGGGAGAGGAUGGUGGAAUUCCCAGUGUAGAGGUGAAAUUCGUAGAUAUUGGGAAGAACACCGGUGGCGAAGGCGGCCAUCUGGACCGCAACUGACGCUGAGGCGCGAAAGCGUGGGGAGCAAACAGGAUAGAAACCCCUGUA
rnacentral:rRNA from 1 species